ACGGCAGCACAGAGAAGCUUGCUUCUUGGGUGGCGAGUGGCGAACGGGUGAGUAACAUAUCGGAACGUACCGAGUAGUGGGGGAUAACUGAUCGAAAGAUCAGCUAAUACCGCAUACGUCUUGAGAGGGAAAGCAGGGGACCUUCGGGCCUUGCGCUAUUCGAGCGGCCGAUAUCUGAUUAGCUAGUUGGUGGGGUAAAGGCCUACCAAGGCGACGAUCAGUAGCGGGUCUGAGAGGAUGAUCCGCCACACUGGGACUGAGACACGGCCCAGACUCCUACGGGAGGCAGCAGUGGGGAAUUUUGGACAAUGGGCGCAAGCCUGAUCCAGCCAUGCCACGUGUCUGAAGAAGGCCUUCGGGUUGUAAAGGACUUUUGUCAGGGAAGAAAAGGCUGUUGCUAAUAUCAGCGGCUGAUGACGGUACCUGAAGAAUAAGCACCGGCUAACUACGUGCCAGCAGCCGCGGUAAUACGUANGGUGCGAGCGUUAAUCGGAAUUACUGGGCGUAAAGCGAGCGCAGACGGUUACUUAAGCAGGAUGUGAAAUCCCCGGGCUCACCUGGGAACUGCGUUCUGAACCUGGUGACUAGAGUGUGUCAGAGGGAGGUAGAAUUCCACGUGUAGCUGUGAAAUGCGUAGAGAUGUGGAGGAAUACCGAUGGCGAAGGCAGCCUCCUGGGAUAACACUGACGUUCAUGCUCUGAAAGCGUGGGUAGCAAACAGGAUUAGAUACCCUGGUAGUCCACGCCCUAAACGAUGUCAAUUAGCUGUUGGGCAACUUGAUUGUUCAGUAGC
rnacentral:rRNA from 1 species